GCCGGCAGCUAGCUCUCUGCAACUCUCACAUGGUCGCCCACUGAAGCUAAGCAUGGCUGAACCCAGUCUGUAUCUGGAUGGGAGACCACAUAGGAAAGCUAGGUUGCUGCUGGAA
ensembl:rRNA 5S_rRNA 5S ribosomal RNA